GUGGGGAAUAUUGGACAAUGGGCGCAAGCCUGAUCCAGCCAUGCCGCGUGAGUGAUGAAGGCCUUAGGGUUGUAAAGCUCUUUCAGUGGGGACGAUAAUGACGGUACCCACAGAAGAAGCCCCGGCUAACUUCGUGCCAGCAGCCGCGGUAAUACGAAGGGGGCUAGCGUUGUUCGGAUUUACUGGGCGUAAAGAGCACGUAGGCGGAUCGGUAAGUCGGGGGUGAAAUCCUGGAGCUCAACUCCAGAACUGCCUUCGAUACUGGCGAUCUUGAGUCCGGAAGAGGUGAGUGGAACUCCUAGUGUAGAGGUGGAAUUCGUAGAUAUUAGGAAGAACACCAGUGGCGAAGGCGGCUCACUGGUCCGGUACUGACGCUGAGGUGCGAAAGCGUGGGGAGCAAACAGGAUUAGAUACCCGAGUAGUCC
rnacentral:rRNA from 1 species